ensembl:lncRNA
CCGCACGCAGCCCGGAGCUCUGACCGCCCGCUGUGCUGUGAGGAAGCACCGGCCGGAACUCUCGCGUUUAACUCUUAACACGGGCCCGCAGCCGCGACAAAAGUUCCGAGCGGCUGUUCCGAGCGGCGCGGAGCACCCGCGGGCGGUUGGGCUGCCGUCAGCGGUUCGCAGCCCGGGCUUAGGAGCGCUGUUCUCAGCCGUCGUUCGAGCGGGGGAAGCGAGCUCUUAUCCCAACCGCUCGAAUGCGACGCGACGGCAGCGCCCUCCUCACGGGUGUCCGCCGCCGGCAGCCCUCGGGUCGGCCGCGGCACGGAGACUUCACCCAUCAGCCCUCGGUUCACUGAACGGACCGAAAGCUUCGAACGGCUCCGUAGCGGCUCGCGGCUAUUUUCCCCAUUACAAACGAAACGCUCCGUUCGAAGCUCUCGCUCCCGAAGCGCCUUUUCCCUCCUAACGGCCGGGCGGUAACGCCUGGCUCCUGAGCCGUAGACCCGACGCGGUUAUCUCUGCAGCACGAAGCGAUCGGGAACGCUUCUCGGUCCCUUCUCGGAGCCAAGCGGCGGAGACGCGGCCACCGCCGAGCCCCGACGGGGCGCGGAGCUCCGUGCUGCUGGCUGAGCUCCCGGCGGGUUAAGCCGCCGCCGCAGCCGGGCGAGGUGUCGACGGUUGGCGUUGUCGAUACGCUGCCCACCCGACCGCGGGUCAAUUGGCAUUUGCCUGCCUUUGACCUGUCGCUUCUGACGCGCGCACAUUGAAGGGCGCGAUCUUUCCCUCUGUUGUAAGGGAUAGAAAACGAGCGGAUGCGCUGUGGCUGAACAAGACAUUCCAGAAUACAGCUCUGUAUCCCGCCGAGAGAGACCCUGAAAUAUUCGGGGUGAGGGCAUCUCCCCCGCUGUAUCCCCGUUCGGCCCCUGCGGGGUCCCUCUCUGGAGCACCCUUCGCCCAACCCGAGCAUCCCCCCGCGCCUCUCUCUGCUCCCGGGCAGCCACGCUUUGGAAGCUGCUUUAUUUCAAAGGCAGCUUUAAAGCGAGUUUCGAGGAAGCCGCCUCCUUUCCUCCUAAUUUUGAUUUGAGCUUCACAACGGGGUGGCGAGCGAAGGAGAUAAACAGUAGGUGAAGAACGGUGGUGAGCCCGAUAGCGAUCUGCACCUAAUCGUUCCGACUGCGUGCGCGGCUGACUCAGCGCCUCGUUGCCCUGUGCUUAGAGAGCCGCAGCGCGUUUACACGGCUUUGUUUGUGCUCCCCGGCGUUUCCACACGCCGACUUGGAAGCUGGCGUUUUAGGUAGCAGCCACCGAUUCCGCAUCGCUUUCAGCCGUCCAAAGUUGCCGGGCGCGCCGCUUGUCUCACUGACACCGGCACGAUCGCUGCUCCCACCCCGUGCGGAGCCACUGAGACCCUCUUACAACGUGGAGCACACCUGGAGUUAAGAGAGUUUUAAGCCUGUCCUUAUCGCGCACGGCGCGCUGCGUUCACCCAUUUGCUCUCAGACAGCGCUUUUGAACGCUCGGUAUUCUUAUUUUUCAAUGACAUUCGCUUAUUAUUAGAGCAGCUGGUAGCCCCAGUGAAGUGCCUGGCAAAGGGCUCCAUCGUAAAACACUGCUUUCUAAGUUUAUAGUUUCUAAUUUGGCUGUGAAAGUGUGAUUCUGGCUGCAAUUUGGCACUCGAGUGCUCAGCUGGAGUGUAAACUUCUCAUAAUAAAAACACUGGUUUAGUGGGUUUGCUGUUUUAAGUUAUAAGAGAUUUAACGAAGUUUUGACUAGUUUUGGAAGCCCAGAGAGGUCUUUCUAUUUAAAUUAGUAAAAGUUAUGAUUUUGGUAAGGGUAGGGUACGUUCUGCGCCUUUUUUUUUAGUGAUAAUUAUUAUUAUUAUUGUGAUUUAAUGUGCAAUUAUUUUUAAGGCAAGCUAAUGCUUCAGGUCUUUAUCUCUGUGCUUUCAGAUCCCGAAAUUGCUCCUGCAGGAACACCAGAGGCAGGACUUGCACAGCAGCUGCUGGCAGUUCUGGGCAGAGGGUGCUGAUGGGGUCUCGACUACUUCCAGCCGUAAAGGAAAGUUCACAACUCAGCCCAUCUCGACUUGCAAAGAGACAGAUUCGCAGAGAUGAUGCAGCCUGGGAACGCUGAUAAGAACAGCAGACAAAGAUGUCAUUGAGUUAAAAAAAGAGUUGGGGUGGUUCCUUGCUAGGACCUGAACACCAAAUGACUAUUGCCUAGGAUCCAAAGGGGAGACUUAAGCUUGCUGCAGAAUUCCUGGUCAGACUUGGAUGGUCCAGAACUGGCAGCCAAAUGCCUCUUGAGCACAAAGCCGAUCAGGACGUGUAAGCUUCCCUCCCUUCUCUCAAGUGCCAAAAUCAGAGUGGAUGGAGACUGCUGACUGCCUCGGGUCCAGGCUUUCCUGCUGGAGAAGUUGCCUCUAGCUUUUAUUCAAGAGAAUUCAUUUUGUCCAAACGAGUGAACCUUCACAUCGCUCCCAUCUCUGUCUUGUACAGGCUUUAUGGUGUGGUUCAAUAGCUCACGGUUAGGAAAGAAGAAGGUGUCUUCCCAUUCUACAGGAUUCUUCUACAAGCUCUUCAAAUGUCACUCGGCAAAGAUCAGGAAUCCUUCACUGACGUCCCCACAGUCUGGGCUGCUCUCACUCACCCACAUUCUGCCCCUUUCUGUUGUCCCGUGGAUGGCUAAGAAGCGGGGGCUGAGUGCCCUCUAAUCCAGUGGUUAAGGGCCUCACUGUGGAACGAUAAAUCAGAUUGUACGUUCUUGCAGUAGGUCGUGAAGCUUUUUAACCAGGAGAUCUUUUCAGAGGCGGAGAGAUCUCUAAAGAUUUUUACGUUUAAAUUCAAUUUCAGUUUUAAACUGCCCCCAAGUUUGUCUUCACGUUUCACUUCUUCAGGCUGUCCAGCAGGCAUAGAUGAUGAUUAUUAUUUUUUUUUCCCUGGAAUAAAAACAUUUUAAUGACCAGUUUUGUUCAGGGAUGAUUCAUACUCUUAAACCACCCAAGGUUGUUCUCUUAGUCACGGGUGUUAGACAGGUCCCAAAAAAUCCAUGCCAUUUUGAAGACAAGGUCUUCGAUUUCACUGGAUAAGAUUGUGGUUUGGAUACCUCUGGCAGGCACUUCAGGAUACCUAAGUGUGCACAAGGAGACUAAAAAGACGAGUUAAGUGUUUAGGCUGUUCCCUUCUGAAGAAAAGCAAAGUGUGCUUCAGGAAUGAGCUUUCCUACCUCUGGACAGUGACAGAACACUUCUGCUCCUACACAAUGAGUGUUCUGCUGGGAAAGGAGUCCCUCCACUUUGCGGUUGCUCUGCUGUAAACUCAGGUUCAUAGAGGUGAAGAGUCAUUGCUCUGACACAAUAUCCCAG